rnacentral:rRNA from 1 species
UACGUAGGGUGCAAGCGUUGUCCGGAAUCACUGGGCGUAAAGGGCGCGUAGGCGGCUCAUGAAGGCUGUGGUGAAAGUCCGGGGCUCAACCUCGGAUCGGCCGUGGCGACUCGUGGGCUGGAGCACUGUAGAGGCGGGUGGAAUUCCGGGUGUAGCGGUGGAAUGCGUAGAGAUCCGGAAGAACACCAGUGGCGAAGGCGGCCCGCUGGGCAGUGGCUGACGCUGAGGCGCGACAGCAUGGGGAGCGAACAGG